GUGGGCGCAGGAUAUUUGCAAGGAGCUGUCCCUAGUACGAGAGGACCGGGAUGGACGCACCUCUGGUGCACCAGUUGUCACGCCAGUGGCACAGCUGGGCAGCUAUGUGCGGAACGGAUAAACGCUGAAAGCAUCUAAGCGUGAAACCGCCCUUAAGAUAAGAUAUCCCACCAGGUUAACUGGGUAAGACCCCUUGUAGACUACGAGGUUGAUAGGCUG
rnacentral:rRNA from 1 species